UACGAAGGGGGCUAGCGUUGUUCGGAAUUACUGGGCGUAAAGGGCGUGUAGGCGGUCAAGUAAGUGGAAUGUGAAACGCCUCGGCUUACCCGAGGACCUGCAUCCCAAACUGCUUGGCUUGAGUAUGGGAGAGGAUGAGGGAAUUCCUGGUGUAGCGGUGAAAUGCGUAGAUAUCAGGAGGAACACCGGUGGCGAAAGCGCUCAUCUGGCCCAAUACUGACGCUGAGGCGCGAAAGCUAGGGGAGCAAACGGG
rnacentral:rRNA from 1 species